UUAUUGUCAGUGAGGUCUCAGUGUCACCAUGUCCCUCAUACAGAGAUGUCUCUUCUGCCUUCUAAUUCCCGUCAGUCUGACACAGACAUCCACCAUUAAUCAGUGGCCCAGAACAAUCAUGAGAGAGUUAGGUUCCGUGGUACACAUGAACUGCACUCAGACAACAGACCACGAAUAUAUGUACUGGUAUCUACAGAGGAAUGGUCAAGGACUAGAGCUUAUAGCCCGGUAUCUCCGUGACCAAACACCCGAGUACGAGAACGAUAUUUACAAAGACAGGUUUAUAAUGACCAGGACUGAUUUAGCAAAGAGGACUCAACUGGAAAUCAAAUCCAUUAAGAAUCAGGAUGAAGGGAUCUAUUUUUGUGCUUCUAGUGAUGCACAGUGACUCAGGGCAGCCAGA